AAGAAAAAAAAACAAAUUAAAAAAAGGAAAAAGAAAAAGGAUCCGCCAUCGCUGGCGAAGUGGAAGGUGCAAACAAAUCCGGCAUCAACCCUUUCUAGAUAUCCCCAUGGCUGGCCUCGUAGUGUGCGCCGCUGUGGUCCUCUGUAGGUGGCCAUGUGUUUCUCUCUGGCCUCUUCCGUCUUCUCCUAUCCCUCAUCACCAGACCUAUAUAUAUUUGUGGAAUGACCUCCUCCAAUUCCUCCUUGCUCCCCUCUCUUGCAUCGAGUGAAGAAGAGAAGAAGAAGAUGAUGGGUUUUGCGCUUCUCCAGAUGGCGAUGGAUGUGAUGGUGGCGGGGAUUUCAUUCAUGCUGGUGUUGGGCAUCUUCGCCUUCGUCGCCUGCAUUCUCUGCUCCGCCGCUUUCCUUCAAGCCAUCUCUUGAAAGAGAUCACACGCCCAGAAGGAGGAGCCUAAAUCUGGUAGUCUUUUUCUUCUUGGCCUUGCAGAACAGAUUGCAUUUCCUGAUGCGCUUAAUCUUCAGCUUGAAGAUCUUUUCUUGAAUCAACUUUGCAACUCUGGGGUUAUGCUGCAAUGCUACGUACAAAAACUGCUUCAAAGUGUGCAAUCCGCUGUGCAUAUAUAUGUUCGAGUGUUGAAUUUUGAUAAUGUUCAGUAGCAUGGCUGACAAGGUUUUGUAUCAUAUUCAGGAUGAUUAUAUGCCUUGCAUGAUCAUGCAAUAAAAGGUGCUCUAGUAAGUGUAAGUUUUUAUGCAACUCCUCAGAGAUGCUUUAUAGAAGUCUGCAUUUGUACAUGAGUUUAAUUGCCUCAGUGGCUUGCCCUCUGGUAGGGGUAUCGACAAAACAAUGUAUUGGCACAGUAACCAAAACUGUGAUCAUCUUGGUAUUCUUGUAA